GAUGAAGAACGCAGCGAAAUGCGAUACGUAAUGUGAAUUGCAGAAUUCAGUGAAUCAUCGAGUCAUUGAACGCACAUUGCGCCCCCUGGUAUUCCGGGGGGCAUGCCUGUCCGAGCGUCAUUGCUGCCCUCAAGCACGGCUUGUGUGUUGGGCCUCCGUCCUCCUCCCGGGGGACGGGCCCGAAAGGCAGCGGCGGCACCGCGUCCGGUCCUCGAGCGUAUGGGGCUUCGUCACCCGCUCUUGUAGGCCCGGCCGGCGCUUGCCGACACAUCAAUCUUUUUUCCAGGUUGACCUCGGAUCAGGUAGGGAUACCCGCUGAACUUAAGCAUAUCAAUAAGCGGAGGU
rnacentral:misc_RNA from 1 species